rnacentral:rRNA from 1 species
GCGUGCGCAGGCGGUUAUGUAAGACAGAUGUGAAAUCCCCGGGCCUCAACCCUGGGAACUGCAUUAGUGACUGCAUAGCUGGAGUACGGCAGAGGGGGAUGGAAUUCCGCGUGUAGCAGUGAAAUGCGUAGAUAUGCGGAGGAACACCGAUGGCGAAGGCAAUCCCCUCGGGCCUGUACUGACGCUCAUGCACGAAAGCGUGGGGAGCAAACAGGAUUAGAUACCCUGGU